rnacentral:rRNA from 1 species
UACGUAGGGGGCAAGCGUUAUCCGGAUUUACUGGGUGUAAAGGGAGCGUAGACGGCGGUGCAAGCCAGAUGUGAAAGCCCGGGGCUCAACCCCGGGACUGCAUUUGGAACUGUUAAGCUGGAGUGUCGGAGAGGGUGGCGGAAUUCCAGGUGUAGGAGUGAAAUCCGUAGAUAUCUGGAGGAACACCGGUGGCGAAGGCGGCCACCUGGACGACAACUGACGCUGAGGUGCGAAAGCGUGGGUAGCAAACAGG